CUUUUACUCCCUCCGUUCGGAAUUACUUGUCUCGAAAAUGGAUGUAUCUAGAACUAAAAUACGUCUAGAUACAUUCAUUUCUUCGACAAGUAAUUCCGAACGGAGGGAGUAUAUU
rfam:Triticum urartu cultivar G1812 contig1099503, whole genome shotgun sequence.